GACGAACGCUGGCGGCGUGCCUAAUACAUGCAAGUAGAACGAGUUGCGAACGGGUGAGUAACGCGUGGUAACCUGCCUCAUAGCGGGGGAUAACUAUUGGAAACGGUAGCUAAUACCGCAUACCAUCAGAUGUGCCAAGGUGGUAUUAGCUAGUUGGUUGGGUAACGGCUAACCAGUGCGACGAUCCCUAGCUGGUCUGAGAGGAUGACCAGCCACACUGGAACUGAGACACGGUCCAGACUCCUACGGGAGGCAGCAGUGGGGAAUAUUGCCCAAUGGGCGCAAGCCUGAUGCAGCCAUGCCGCGGGUAUGAAGAAGGCCUUCGGGUUGUAAAGUACUUUCAGCGGGGAGGCGUUACCCGCAGAAGAAGCACCGGCUAACUCCGUGCCAGCAGCCGCGGUAAUUC
rnacentral:rRNA from 1 species